rnacentral:rRNA from 1 species
AGUUGCAAGGUAUAGACCCGAAACCCGGUGAUCUAGCCAUGGGCAGGUUGAAGGUUGGGUAACACUAACUGGAGGACCGAACCGACUAAUGUUGAAAAAUUAGCGGAUGACUUGUGGCUGGGGGUGAAAGGCCAAUCAAACCGGGAGAUAGCUGGUUCUCCCCGAAAUCUAUUUAGGUAGAGCCUUAUGUGAAUACCUUCGGGGGUAGAGCACUGUUUCGGCUAGGGGUCCAUCCCGGAUUACCAACCCGAUGCAAACUGCGAAUACCGAAGAGUAAUGCAUAGGAGACACACGGUGGGUGCUAACGUCCAUCGUGAAGAGGGAAACAACCCAGACCGCCAGCUAAGGUCCCAAAGUCUAUAUUAAGUGGGAAACGAAGUGGGAAGGCUUAGACAGCUAGGAUGUUGGCUUAGAAGCAGCCAUCAUUUAAAGAAAGCGUAAUAGCUCACUAGUCGAGUCGGCCUGCGCGGAAGAUGUAACGGGGCUAAAAUAUAGCACCGAAGCUGCGGCUUUCAGGGGUCAGAUUACAGGAGUCAGA